CCUACGGGUGGCAGCAGUGGGGAAUAUUGGGCAAUGGGCGCAAGCCUGACCCAGCAACGCCGCGUGGAGGAAGAAGGCUUUCGGGUUGUAAACUUCUUUUCUCAGGGACGAAGAAAGUGACGGUUCCUGAGUAAUAAGCCGCGGCUAACUACGUGCCAGCAGCCGCGGUAAUACGGAGGUAGCAAGCGUUAUCCGGAUUUAUUGGGCGUAAAGGGCGUGUAGGCGGGAGAGCAAGUCAGAUGUGAAAACUCAGGGCUCAACCCUGAGCCUGCAUUUGAAACUGUGUUUCUUGAGUGCGGGAGAGGCAAUCGGAAUUCCGGGUGUAGCGGUGAAAUGCGUAGAGAUACGGAGGAACACUAGUGGCGAAGGCGGAUUGCUGGACAGUAACUGACGCUGAGGCGCGAAAGCGUGGGGAGCAAACAGGAUUAGAUACCCUUGUAGUC
rnacentral:rRNA from 1 species